CUCCUCUCCUUGACAGUAGCACGCUGCUCUCUGGGCGUUCAUGUAGGGUCUGCAGCCCAGAGUCCACACUGUGUUGAACAGGGUGUCUGCUACUGUUUCACACGCUGAGGAGACAAAAGUGACAGAGACAGGUAAAGUUGAUGAAAAUGGGUGUUUGCUCAGUAACCCUUCCCUGGAUGAGAUAAAGGUUAAAACGUUACCAACCUUCAACCUUUGACACGAAGCCCAGGCUCUUCUUGAGGUCGGAGCAGAUGCUGUGGAGGCACCAGCGGAACUUGGAGUCGCAGCGGUACUUAUUGGAGCCGCAGGUGUCGUAACACAUGUCCAGCUGAUUGCAGCACUUGGUCAUGGCGGGGAUGCCCAUGUCCAUCUGGAACACAACAAACAUGAGUAAGAUGGAAGACACGUACCCCCUCUGGAAUAGGAAUACCAAAGAAGUAGGAGCUACAUCCAUCAGGUUCUGGCAUCUGGUAUCCAGGCCGAGGAAGAGGAGCUUUACCUGAGGGGUGAAGCAGAGCAAAAUAUCAAAUGUAGGUCAUGUUUCACAGCAGGUCGGUGGCAAUGUGCUGCACUGGCUGGGUCGAUAACCAUGUGGGUUUAAAAGUAGAUCUGUGUUAGCACAUAGGAACAAAGGUCAGUUAUUUGGUUCAUCUUGUCAAUAGGCACAUCCCGUAGUCCCUGCAAGAAACCUCUGCUAUCAUCUGGUCACAGUCCAUGCACAGGCCCUCUUGCAGAUGAUAACAAAGAUGAUAAGUACAAGAUGCAGUGUUGUAGUUACCUGUAGUGCUGUUUAUCAGUCUAGAUUGUUUUGGUUUGAGUUGCAGAGUGUUGGAGAUAUCGGCUGUAGAGAUGUCUGCCUUAUCUCCAAUGUAAUAGAACUCGAUGGCGCUUGACUUGUGGUGCUCAAAGUGCCAGAAAACAUGUUUGAAAAACUCAACAGCAAUGUCUUUUUAGAUCAAGAUAAUCCAGACUUUGUUGUGAGCAGUUUCAUGUAGGAACUAUUUUCUUUCCAUUUAAACACACCCACCAACCCUAUCACUAUGCAGAAGGAGGUGUGCAUUAAUUCAUGGAUCAGAGGCUCAUGCUCUUGCCUGCACAAAAUAUUAACAAUUAUGGCGUCUUCCUGAGCUGUACUGUUAGCAAGCUCAGUGGUGCUAGGUGAGCUAACAGUAGAUGCACGCUUCCUUCUGCGUUGUGAUACAUUUGACAGAAAAUAGUUCCUACAUGAAACUGCUCACAACAAGGUCUGUGGAUUGUCUUGAGAAAGCAGGUCAUGAGAUCUGGAAAGAGACAUUGCUGUUGAGUUUUUCAAAUUUAUUUUUUUGCCGUAUUGAGCACCACACGCCGAGUGCCAUCUAGUUCCAUUACACUGAAGAGAAGGCAGACAUCUCUAUGGCGGAAAAUAUAGAAAAAUAUGUGUUCCAGAUUCUGUGGUGAACUAUUCAGAGCGUAAUUAGAGUUUGGUUUACAAUGUUGCAUCAUUGUUUCAUACAGGCAGCGUCCAGACUAACCACUUCAACAGUUUGUGAUGUAAUAUAAACAUUAUCCACGAAGUAUAUACUGCCAUUUACCACACAGGCUAAUUUACUGAAGAGCAGUAGAGAAGCAUUUGUUCUGCCUGUUCCCGGAAAAUAAUUGAAUUAAAAUUUUUCUUGUAUAUUUAAUAGUAAUUAUGCAGCUAUAGAAACAUUGUUUGGAUAAAUCAAAGUAGAAUUGUGAAUAUUUAAAUCAAAUUGAAUUGGAAUUUGUUUCAUUUCUGCAUUUUAAUUACUGGAAAAAAGACAGCAUCAACAAAAAUGACAAUUCUAAUGCAAGAUUUUACUUUCUCCACUUAUAAUACAAAACAAAUGUUAACAGAUGAGGGUCUAGUAUAUGCAUAUGAACAUUCUUACAGUGCCAGACCUGGAAAUUAAAAGGCAGAGGAGGCAGAUUAUAUUUAAUAUCUAAUAUCUAUAAAUUUGGCCAUUUUCAUCUAAAAAUAUAAUUAAGUAUUUUGUGUUUUCCCCAUGAGCUUCAUCAUUAUCAGCAGUGGUGUAGUGGAGGGUACACACAGGUAUAUGGGGUAUACCCACCGCUUUUUCUGGACUAUAGAGGAGAGUAUACCCACUUUGUCCUCAGUAACCUAGUAGUACACCCAUCCCGUCAAUUUCAACUCCACCACGGGUUAUUGGAGUGGAAACAUCAUCACCUGGAGCACUGGAGACCCAAACCUGGACUAACUCGAACCAAUUCCACUGCUUGUUAUUAUCAGUGUUAAGCAGAAGCUGUAAUGCAUUUCCUCCUUUUAAUUAAGAUCGACUUCUAUAAUGUCUUAAAAGACAAACAAUCAGUGGUGGACCACACUGGCAGAUAAGUAUCAGUAUCUUUCUCACCCUGAACCACACUGUGUAAUGCCACCUCAUCCAU